UUUUUUGAAGUUGGGCAUGGCAUUUCUGCACAAGUACCUUUACAUUGAGAAGCUGUUUCUCUGUUGGUAAAUUUCCAACACAGUUUAUCCUUAUUUAGAUAAGCCUAGUUGCUUCAAUUACCUAGAUAAUCUUGUUCAUUCUUGUUCAUUCUUUCUUGACCUUCCCCUUAGCUACUAAGUCUCUGUGCCUUCACUGAAAGUGUUCUUACUGACUUCGUUGGAUUCAUCAUACCUGACUGCAUAGAUCUUAAUUCAACAAAUAUUUGUAAAAAGCCACUACAUGUGCUAAACACUGAGAACAGAAACAAAGAUAAAUGAGAUUAUUCCUUUGUUCCUAAAGAGUAUAUAGUUUAAUAAGAAGACAGGAACAUGAACAGAUAAACACAAUAGAUUGAGUAUGUGGUAGUAAUAUAUGAGAUAUAACGGGAACUGCUGGGAGGAACAUAAGUUAACUUUGCAUUUAACAUUUUAAGAAACUUUCAAACUGCUUUCCAAAAUGGCUAUACCCUUUUACAUUCUCAUCUAGAACCUAUGAGGGUUAUAGUUUCUCCACAACCUUGAAAACAUUUUUUUAUCUUUUUGAUUUUAGCCAUCUUAGUGGGCAUGAAGUUAUAUCUCAUUGUACUUUAAAUUUCUAAUCUCUAGGGAGUUCCCACUGUGGUGUAGCAGGUUAAGGAUUUGGUAUUGUCUGUGAGGCAUCACAGGUUCAACCCCCAGUCUAGCACAGUGGGUUAAGGAUCUGGUGUCGCCUCAGCUGUGGUCUAGGUCACAGCUGUGGCUUGCAUCCCUGGCCCAGGAAUAUGCUGUGGGUGUGGCAACAAAAAGCUGCAUUCUCUAAUAAUGUAAUGAUGUUUGAAUGCUUCAUGGCCAUUUGUGUGCCUUCACUGAUGAAAUAUUUAUUCAAAUCUAUUGCCCAUUUUUUUAAUUGGGUAAUUUGAUUUCUUUUGGAGUUACAAGAUUUUUUUUUUUUAACACAUUAACAAGUCUCUUAUUGGGUAUGUGAUUUGCAUAUAUUUUCUUCCAGUCUACAGCCUGUCUUAUCACUUCUUUGGAGGUAUCUUUGAAGUGCAGAAGUUAUUAAUUUUGAUGACAUCUCAUUUGUCAAUUUUUUCUUAGGUUGCUUGUGUCAUGUGUAAGUAAUCUCUGACUAAUCAAAGAUCUCCAAUGUUUUCUUUUAAGAGCUUUAGAGUUUUCACACUCACAUUGGCUCUAUGACUCCUUUUGGUUUAAUGUUUGUAUGUAAUUUGAAGUAAAGUUCUAAAUUCAUCUUUUGAAUGUGGAUAUUCAAUUGUACCAGCAUGAUUUAGAGUAAUAAACAUUGUUUCCCCAUUAAAUUGCUCUAGCAUCUUUCUCAAAAAUCAGUUGACCAUACGGUCAAGGUUUAUUUCUGAACUCUAAACUCUGCCUGUGAUCUAUAUCUAUCCUGAUGCAAUACCACACUGUCUUGAUUACCAUCGCUUUGUAGGAAGUUUUAAAACUAGAAAGUGAAAGUUCUCCAAUUUUGUUCUUUUUUUUUUUUUCCUAAGAUUGUUUUGCUAUUCUUUUAUGCUGUUUUAAGGAGCAUUGCUUUAUUCAUUAGGCAAUGGUAAGCCAUUAUUUGUAUAUAGCUUAUCAUCUCUAUCAAAUCAUAAGCUUCUUUAGAGGGGAAAGUUUAUCUUCUUCAUUGCUGUCUCCCUAGCAGCACAUUAUACAGCCUCAAAAGUUGUUUGCAGAAGCCAUAACAUUUACAUUGCAAAAUGACAUUACAACAACUCAGUGUAAUUAUUUCCUAUGUGCUGAUGAGUUUUCAUAGGUUGCAUUUGAAAGAGCCAGGGAUUGGGAAAUGGAAACCCUGAUCCAAGUCUUUGAUCUAUAAUAAACUUCUAUUUGACCUUGAGAAAGUGAGGAGCUACUCUGAGUCACAAUUUUCAUAUCUAUGAAGAUGAAGUUACUGCUAAUUAUUUUCCAGGAUAUCUUCUGGCUCUAAAAUUCUUAGUGUAAGCUAUCUUUACCAGUCUUAGGAAAAAUGAUAUUUUAUUAAUCAAUUGCUAUGGGAUAGGUAGUGUAAUUAAGGAUAAAAGAAAUACAAGGGAUGAGCAAUGUUUUCAAGGAAUCUCUAAUCUAGAUCGGGUUGUAGGAUAAAUAUGUUUAAAAUAAUGCUUAAUUUUCAACCUUCAUAAACAUCAUUAUUAUAGAAUAUUAUACCUUUUUUUCUUAUAUACCUUACCUUUUCUAUGGAUGGCUUCCUUUUAUGUUGACAUUUGGCUAUGGAAUGUAAUAUUGCAGAACUCCUGUUAAACCUGGCAAGUCCUCAGUGUUGUCAUUUUAAUACAUUUUGAGUUUUCUUAUUACUCAAGCGUUGUAGAUCAAGCAUUGGAAUUUAGUUACAUUAGCAGUCUUUGUUCCUGUGCUUUAACUUAUGUGACAGAACAAUUAUCUCACAUGCCAUAUUUGAGAUUUGGGGAAUGAGCACAGGGUUGUUUAAAUCCAGCGAGCGCAUUUCCUCUGCCCUUUGAUCAGAAGCAUUGCGUGCAAUCUAAAAAUGUUAGAGGAAGAGAGAAAUGGGAUGAAUAACCCAAAUAUAGUAGCUUAUUUCAGAGAUCAUUUACUAUUACAGCAACCAAAGCAACCACUUCUCAAAACUCCCAAGUAGGCAGCUCUACUUCCAUGGUUUGCAUUCUAAUUUUUCAUUGAGUAUAAAAGGAGUAUUUUAGCCACAGAAUCCUCUGGUUUGUUAGGAUAUAUUUCUCUAAGAGGGUGGGUAUGACAUCAGAAAUGUGUUACUUUCUAAUGAAUUUUGAAAAACAAACCUCAGUGGAGGCUAUUUAAUUUUUCUUCUUCUGAAAAAGUUAUUUUUCUGUGGACAUUCAGCCAUAAGACAAGAGUACUGGAGAGUGUAAUUGACUAGAAACACAAGUUAUAGCAAUGAAUCAAUUUGUAUUACCCAUGAAGGAUAAAAUGCAAUAAGUGGAAAAACAUUUCCUAUUCAAACGUCUUCAGAAUCAACCUUAAUGAUAGUAACGAAAAUGUUUCUUCUUUUUAUAAGGGAGAGAGUGUGGAGUAAUAUCCAAAUUACCUUUUCAGUGAAGAGAAAUUCAGUAUGUUUAAUUCAAUUUAUAGAUUUUGCCCUAAGGGUUUUACACCACUACCAGGUCUUUUAUUAAAUUUAUUUUCUUAGGUCACUAGGGUACAAGCAAAAAAUCACAAUCCAUUUUAUUUGAGACUCACAGAAUGUUAUGUGAUGUAAAUAUUUAGGACUGAAAUGUUUAUUCCCAGAAUGUUUAAUCCCAGAGUUUUAGGAAUGGAUUUCAAUAUCUUUUGUACAAGUUAAUAUUUUUCUAGAAAGCAAGCCAUCUGAACUAUGCUAUUAUUUUUUAGGCUAAUGAAUCUUUUACCUGUAAAAAGAGCCAUCAGAGAUUUUUAGGCUAUAGUGACUUUAAGGUUGAAGAAAACAGGAGGAAUCUGAGAUAUCUAACCAAUGGAAGAAUUGAGAAACAGUCAGGGAUGUUACAUGCUGAACAGCCACAGUGAUUUUCUCUAGAACCCCUAAGGACAAGCUUAUAAUAACAUGAAAUCCUUCAAUGCCAUUACCCUGUCCUCCCAGAGUAGAGACUUGGGUUUUUAAAGGAAGGACACAAAGCAGAGAAGCAGCCCUGUGUGGGUAUACACACAUACCCUGCACCAAGACAUACUUCAUUCACCUUGCUCUUCAUUUCUGUACUUUCAGGAAUGUUGGGAAAACCUACAGCUCUAGUAGCUUAUUACAGGGAGGAGUAUUUACAUCAGUGAAAGUGUCACACACAGAGGGAAGCAAUGAGGGAUAGGAUUAAGUUAGAGAUGGACAAAGCACCAUAAGGAUAUAAAACUAGGAGGGCUCAGGCUUCCAAUGCCAUUGAUGUAAAGAGGGACGCAGGGCAGGAUCAUACCUUGUGCAUGCAGUGUCUUGGUACGAUUUAGGAAAAUGAAUUAAGAUCUACCUUUUGGAAAAUUGAUGAAAUAAGACAAUCUGUUGCCAUCUACAGGAAUAGUAUCAUAAUACAUGGGUAAAUCCCUGAUGUCUUAAGAAGUAAAUUACAUUCCUUUGGAGACUGAUAAAAUUGUUGCUGGUGAUCUCUUAGAAUGGACUAGACAAAUUACAUGAGGGAUUGGUUGCAGUUAUUUUACUAGGUGAUAUUGGAGGUUCUGUGAUGGUUGUUUUACAGGCUACUAGUAUUCUGAGAGGACCUUCGGGGUAUUACUUAUCAUUCUUAGUUUAGAAUAACAGCUCUAUCUUUGGAGCUCCCUCAAACCUCACUUAGUAGAACACUGUUCCUGUCAUGGUAGUAGUUCACCUUGCCAAUAGGUGUAUAAUCAGACCUUGUUAACAUUUUUGUCUAAUCCAUCUUUUGAAAUCCUCAGUUUGUGUAAGGGGCUCAUCAGGUUGAUACAACCUGGCAUCUAUGGCAUGAAACAGAGGUAUUCAGGUGGAAUUAUACAUUACAGGUCUUCUAGAAUUCCCCAGCCAGAUUUUCCUUCUAAUGUACUAUGUUAUGCUUUUGCCAGUGGUCUCUAAGUUCCUUGAAUAUGUCUUGACAUGUCACGUAGGGUGAAUCCCUCCAUGCUUUCUGUGCCUUUAGGAGAAGGCCUGAGAAAGCCUGUGCAGAGGCUUUGGUCACAUGAGAAUCUGCCCUGACCCUUAGGAAAAAAACAAUGUGCCUCAGUAGGUCGAAACUUGGGACUAGCCUUGCUUCUAAACCACUCACCCUUUCAUAUCCGUCCUCUUCUCAUACCUUUGAAAAGCAAAUGAGGUGUUAGAAUUAAACUGUCCUAGAAAUGGUAGCCAUGCUCCAUCAAAUGUAUUCUUGCCACAGCCAAGGUGACCUUCACACACACAUUAGUAAGAAUAUGUCAUUCUUCUAGAUAAAAUCUUUCAACAGCUUUCCUUUGCUCUUUGAAUAGAGUCAGAAUUCCUUGCCAUGACUUAUAAAGCCUUGUCUAGACGCUGCAACCUUUCUUUAAUACCCCUUCCCAGCUCCCUAUCCCACCAACGCCAACCCCACAUCCUGUCGCAUCCGCAAUAUAUCCCAGCUAAGCAAACCGGACAGACACUCUUCCUAGGCCUCUUAUUUCUCUCCCCUCAACUCUUUUUUCUGUCUUUCCUUCCUUCCCCUCUGUCUCCUUUUUUGUUUCCCUUAAAAAUUUUUUUUCAUUACAAACACAAUGGAACACUGACUCAGUUGCUGCUGAUGAAACAAAUGAUCUUGGAGAAAAGCAUAGAGUCUCAAAGAUUAUCCCCAGAAAGCUGCUCAUUUUUCGUCCCAUCCAUUGCUCCUGAUUAAAGUCUGACUGAUGACUUGUCUCCUGGCUUCUCUGAUGGGAUUGAUGGCUCUGAAGUGAUCUUUGUAUCUGUGUUAGAUUAGUUCAUGCUCAUUUGUUGUGUGUGGACUCUUUUUUUCCUUUGAAAUAAAAGAAUAUCGAGAUUUAGUGGUGUUUGAAUCACAUUAUCAUCCUUGACCUAAGCAACUUGGGGUAAUAAAGUGAAGGAUCAUAAAAUGGGAAAGAAUAUUAAUCACCUAGUUUUUGAAAAAAUAUAAAUGUUCUUAUCAUAUUCAUUCAAGCUAGUGUGCCCUGGAUUUUCAUAUGGUCAAUUAGAGUCGAUUUGAAUGACCACUAGAAUACUAAUUCUAUGAGGUCAACCAUUUUAUUAAUCUUUUUGUCCUUGAUAUUUCACAGAGGGUCCUGUACUUAGUGGGCUCUUGUUAAGUAUUAAGCAACCAUGUAUGUAGUGAGGAGCCAUGUAGCAGGGAGGGAGCUAACAUAUGUGUUUGGGUUUUAGGAAUAAAAAUUCAUUGCUGUCGUCUUCUCACUCUGAGGUCUGAAACAACAGAAAAAUGAGACAUAGGAGUCAGGUAAAAAAAAUCAAAUAUCAGGCUCAACACUAUUAAACUGAUUCUGAGAAUUUCUUGCCUUACAAUCAAAAGCUGGUUUCCUAAUAUAAACCCCACACCUCUGAACUGAAAAGACUUAAAUAGUCUAUCAGAAACAUGAGGACAUCUUUCUCCCUUCCUAUUCAACCCAACUCCCAUCUCUAGCUCAGGCCUGGGGACAGGCGCUGCUUCUGUAGGAAAAAAAAUGUUCAACACAUUUCAGAGAAGAAGACAGGUGCACAUGAGUGAAAAGUCAGCUCACUGAGCUGUAGGGACCAUGUCCCUUUACCCAAUCUCAUCGUCAGGUAGGUCAUUUCUCCUCCUAGGGAAAAGUGUCCUGGUGAAUGAAACCUUAUAUGUUCCUUCCCACCUAUAAAAUUCUUUCUUCUUUGUGAAAAUACAAAAAGUAAGCAUUAAGUAUUCACAUUUGGCUCUUUGAAAAUGGGAAGGAGUUCUUGUCGUGGCACAGAGGAAAUGAAUCCGACUAGUAUCCAUGAUGCAAGUUCAAUCCCUGGCCUCACUCAGUGGGUCAGGGAUCCAGCAUUGCUGUGAAUUGUGGUGUAGGUCACAAAUGUAGCUUGGAUCCCAUGUUGCUCUGAUGUAGGCUGGCAGCUUAGCUCCGAUUCAGUCCUUAGCCUGGGACUCUCCAUAUGCCGCAGGUAUGACCCUAAAAAGCAAAAAAAAAAAAAAAAAA
rnacentral:lncRNA from 1 species